rnacentral:tRNA from 1 species
GAGGGGAUAGCUCAGUGGCAGAGUGCAUGCUUAGCAUGCACUAAGUCCUGGGUUCAAUCCCCAGUACCUCUA